ACAGUUUCUGCCCCACCUCCUUUGAGUCAUAAUGUUAACACCAUGAGGAAACUGGACUAUCUAAAUGCUCUCCCUGCCUGGACACUGUCUGGUGUUCCACAGUUGCUGGUGCCAAGAUAUCUGCAUGCUUGAACAAUGAUAUCAACACAAACUUGAAGACUAACUAUAAAGAGGCUAAGGUAAAAAGAUCAACUGCAAAAUUCUUCAGCACGAACUCAAGUGAUGAUGCUUCUAAUGGUAAAAGGGCGGAGCAUUUUCUACAGUUGAUUGAUGACAGUGGCUUCAAUUCCUGCUUUACUUUUCUUUCACAAACAUUUGUGCUUUAUGAAAGCAUAUUAAGCAUUCCCUGAUGGCUCAGAAACACAGUCUUAUUGUUUUAGAGAUUGUCCAUUAAUUACAAAUGUAUCUGCUAUUGUUGUAAAUUGCCAUGUCCUGUUGUCUAUGAAGAGAUUUUUAGAAGAAAGAAGGAGAAAGGAAUUAGUUAGGCUAUACCUUGGAUUUAUUAAGAGGAAAGUAAAAAUUUCACAAAUAGGCUCACUGAUUUCUCUACAGUCCAAAAUUUCAUUAAAGGCUAUUUAUUUGUGAUAUCAUACAAUAAGUCCAAAGUAC